AUUGAACGCUGGCGGCAGGCCUAACACAUGCAAGUCGAGCGGAUGAAGGGAGCUUGCUCCUGGAUUCAGCGGCGGACGGGUGAGUAAUGCCUAGGAAUCUGCCUGUUAGUGGGGGAUAACGUCCGGAAACGGGCGCUAAUACCGCAUACGUCCUGAGGGCGUAAGUGGGGGAUCUUCGGACCUCCCGCUAUCAGAUGAGCCUAGGUCGGAUUAGCUAGUUGGUGGGGUAAAGGCCUACCAAGGCGACGAUCCGUAACUGGUCUGAGAGGAUGAUCAGUCACACUGGAACUGAGACACGGUCCAGACUCCUACGGGAGGCAGCAGUGGGGAAUAUUGGACAAUGGGCGAAAGCCUGAUCCAGCCAUGCCGCGUGUGUGAAGAAGGUCUUCGGAUUGUAAAGCACUUUAAGUUGGGAGGAAGGGCAGUAAGUUAAUACCUUGCUGUUUUGACGUUACCAACAGAAUAAGCACCGGCUAACUUCGUG
rnacentral:rRNA from 1 species